rnacentral:rRNA from 1 species
AGACAGGUGCUGCAUGGCUGUCGUCAGCUCGUGUCGUGAGAUGUUGGGUUAAGUCCCGCAACGAGCGCAACCCCCAUCUUCAGUUGCCAUCAUUUGGUUGGGCACUCUGGAGAAACUGCCGGUGACAAGCCGGAGGAAGGCGGGGAUGACGUCAAGUCCUCAUGGCCCUUAUGGGCUGGGCUACACACGUGCUACAAUGGUGGUGACAGUGGGCAGCGACCUCGUGAGGGGGAGCUAAUCUCCAAAAGCCAUCUCAGUUCGGAUUGUACUCUGCAACUCGAGUGCAUGAAGUUGGAAUCGCUAGUAAUCGCGGAUCAGCACGCCGCGGUGAAUACGUUCCCGGGCCUUGUACACACCGCCCGUCACACCAUGGGAGUUGGCUUUACCCGAAGCCGGUGCGCUAACCGCAAGGAGGCAGCCGACCACGGUACGGUCAGCGACUGGGGUGAAGUCGUAACAAGGUAGCCGUAGGGGAACCUGCGGCUGGAUCACCUCCUUUCU